AGUAACACGUGGAUAACCUACCUAUAAGACUGGGAUAACUUCGGGAAACCGGAGCUAAUACCGGAUAAUAUUUUGAACCGCAUGUUCAAAAGUGAAAGACGGUCUUGCUGUCACUUAUAGAUGGAUCUGCGCUGCAUUAGCUAGUUGGUAAGGUAACGGCUUACCAAGGCAACGAUGCAUAGCCGACCUGAGAGGGUGAUCGGCCACACUGGAACUGAGACACGGUCCAG
rnacentral:rRNA from 1 species